AUUGAACGCUGGCGGCAGGCUUAACACAUGCAAGUCGAGCGGGGAAAGGUAGCUUGCUACCUGACCUAGCGGCGGACGGGUGAGUAAUGCUUAGGAAUCUGCCUAUUAGCGGGGGACAACAUUCCGAAAGGAAUGCUAAUACCGCAUACGCCCUACGGGGGAAAGCAGGGGACCUUCGGACCUUGCGCUAAUAGAUGAGCCUAAGUCAGAUUAGCUAGUUGGUGGGGUAAAGGCCUACCAAGGCGACGAUCUGUAGCGGGUCUGAGAGGAUGAUCCGCCACACUGGGACUGAGACACGGCCCAGACUCCUACGGGAGGCAGCAGUGGGGAAUAUUGGACAAUGGGCGCAAGCCUGAUCCAGCCAUGCCGCGUGUGUGAAGAAGGCCUUUUGGUUGUAAAGCACUUUAAGCGAGGAGGAGGCUACUUGGAUUAAUACUCUAGGAUAGUGGACGUUACUCGCAGAAUAAGCACCGGCUAACUCUGUGCCAGCAGCCGCAGUAA
rnacentral:rRNA from 1 species